CGAAGGGGGCUAGCGUUGCUCGGAAUUACUGGGCGUAGAGGGAGCGUAGGCGGGUUAUCAAGUUGGAGGUGAAAGCCCAGGGCUCAACCUUGGAAUUGCCUUCAAAACUGAUAGCCUAGAGUAUGAUAGAGGUAAGUGGAACUCCGAGUGUAGAGGUGAAAUUCGUAGAUAUUCGGAAGAACACCAGUGGCGAAGGCGACUUACUGGAUCAUGACUGACGCUGAGGCUCGAAAGCGUGGGGAGCAAACAGGAUUAGAUACCCUGGUAGUCCACGCUGUAAACGAUGAUUGCUAGUUGUCAGCCGGCAUGCCGGUUGGUGACGCAGCUAACGCAUUAAGCAAUCCGCCUGGGGAGUACGGUCGCAAGAUUA
rnacentral:rRNA from 1 species